CAGAGCCCUCAGCAAUACUCUGAAAGUUGUGGGAGAAAAGAGAGAUCACCAUCUGGAGCAAGAAGAGGGCUUGAUGUAACAAGGCCAAAUUAUCUUAUUCCGAAGGAUUUUCUCAGCAUCUCAGCGCCUCUACUCCUCCAGCUAUUCUUGAAGGAGGCCUGUUUCCAUGGAAUGAGUUCAGCCUGUUCACUUUCCCCAGACACACUGUUAUACAAUGUCAAAGUAUGUAAGCAAGGUAAGUUUAAUUUACAUAAGCAU